CUACGGGUGGCAGCAGUGGGGAAUAUUGCACAAUGGGCGCAAGCCUGAUGCAGCCAUGCCGCGUGUAUGAAGAAGGCCUUCGGGUUGUAAAGUACUUUCAGCGGGGAGGAAGGGAGUAAAGUUAAUACCUUUGCUCAUUGACGUUACCCGCAGAAGAAGCACCGGCUAACUCCGUGCCAGCAGCCGCGGUAAUACGGAGGGUGCAAGCGUUAAUCGGAAUUACUGGGCGUAAAGCGCACGCAGGCGGUUUGUUAAGUCAGAUGUGAAAUCCCCGGGCUCAACCUGGGAACUGCAUCUGAUACUGGCAAGCUUGAGUCUCGUAGAGGGGGGUAGAAUUCCAGGUGUAGCGGUGAAAUGCGUAGAGAUCUGGAGGAAUACCGGUGGCGAAGGCGGCCCCCUGGACGAAGACUGACGCUCAGGUGCGAACGCGCGGGGAGCAAACAGGAUUAGAUACCCUAGUAGUC
rnacentral:rRNA from 1 species